ACUGAACAAGUACUUUUGAGAAUUUCAAUUCUGAUCUGAGACGUACCAAAGCGACUGAGACAAACUUUAGUGGUGUGUUUUUACCAGGCUUACCACAAAGUGACACUAGGGGGAGCCAGUUGGCUGGACUACGCUAAUCAGAUACUCCCAGCAUCCCUUGCUGUCUGGUUCGAGAUCGUCUUGCUGCUCGUGCUUCGGACACGUUUCCUGCUAUGCCAGCUUCUGUUCAAACUGAAUAUUUAAGAGUAGUUAACUUCGACCUUACUGUCCAUGACUGAGGGUACAGUUGUCGGAUUCAUCAGUCAGGUUUUGGUAAAGGGUGGAUUUCUGGACCUGUCCAGCAUCCAGCAGAGCAUCCGUUAAAGGAUUCAUCCGUCAGAGAACCGAGAUUCCAGUUAACUGGAUGGCGAGCCAACCUACAAGAACUUGAGAGACGGAGAGAAGGAAGAUUGUUCCUUCAAAGGAUUUACUGUCUUCACGGUGCGGUAUGACAGAUAAAAGAUACACACACAUCUGGACUGGGCCCCAACCAUCGGUCCAACGACUUAACACUAAAAGACUGGACUCAGACACAUUUGUUUGUUUAUGUCAUUGUGCGCACUUUAUUAUUUUGUCCUUAAUUGUACUGUCAUAUUUUUGUUGUUGUGCAGUUAACCUGCAGUAAAUGUGUUUAUUAUACACCUUUUGGCAAAUUUAUUUCUGUUUUGUGUCUCUUUAUUAAUGGUCAGACCUCAGGCUCCGAGCGUCCUAUCCUUCUGAUACUGGUCUGUCUUUAAUAUAUUUAUAGUUUUAACGUAAAAAGUGUUACAUUAGCCAAAGCGCCGUUGCCCCAGGAAUUUCCUUACGUGUUUGUGUGUGUUGUUAUUGCCAACCAGGAAAGCAAUAUUCAAAUAAACACGCUGUUAGUCUAAUUCUAUAUUUUGUGUCAUUUACAAUAAUAAUAUAUAGUUAUAUUCCUAAACAUUCUAUACUAGCCCAACGUGUUUGUCAAUGCCAACUGAGCAAAAAAUGUUAUCAUGUAACACGCUGUCAAAUAAAUUCUAUGUUUUGUGUGAAUUUUUCAAACUUAAAAGGCAAAAAUAA
ensembl:lncRNA